CGCGGAUCUGCUGUCAUGUGACGGAUCACAUGAGCUCUAUAUUCCACCACCACUACCCCUCUGCCUAGUAACUAGUGACGGUACUGGCUCCUCCCUUGCAUGGGUGGUCCCAAAUGCUAGGCAAGGGUGGGGCCGCCACCCGGAUUCUCCCCUCUGGCCAGUCAAGCACUGAGUAAGCCCAGGGCUCCCCACCUGCGUCCUGAGCCUGGUCCCCUGGGAAUCACCACAAGUGAGUGGGCUGUAGAGACCCACAGACUGGGGUUCUUCCUAGCUGUAUGACAUCAGCAAAAUAACCUCUCAGAGCCUAGGUUUCUGCAUUUACAAUAUGGAGACUUAUAUAAAAGUGAUCUGCCUCGAAAGAUUGCAGUGAAAAAAUUUUUUUCCUCUUUUAUCCUUUAUGUCCCCAUAUUAUCAAUUUUGUCUUCAUUUUACGACUACAUUUAUGAACAGAGUAAAGCUUUUGCAAGACCAGGAUCCUUUUAUUCAAAUCAGUUUCCAGUUUUAAGUAGCUUCCCAGGAGAUCUACAAUCAGCUGGGGUCCUGUUUAUUAUGGGUUCCCAAGGUUUUCAAGGAAAUCAACUUUGUUCUAAGGGCCAUGGAGGAAUCUUGCAUCUUGUUUAGUGGGCUCAGGUGGAUAAAAUGGAAACGGACCUUUGCUUCUUCUAAUGGUAACUCAAAGCCCACAAGGAGGUCUGAGUUUACUACUUCCAACUGGGGUCAUUACAAGAGGAUUUUCAAUGAGAGUUAAAACCCUGAGGAUUCAAUUCCCUUCCAGUCUUCCUUUUUUUCCCCCCAAAAAUCCAUAUGGAAGAUGGUGUCAGCAGUGUCAUUUUAACUUCCAAAACCAUUAAUCCAAUACUCAUGUGAAAUCCCUUGUUCUGACCUCAAUACUUUUUAGAUAGAUCCCUCUACUCCUGCUGUUGUCCUACAGGCCACUGGCUUCCAUUAACCUAUAGAUUAUAUUCCCACACUGAAGAUUAUGGCACUUCACCUUUCUGUCCAUCCCAACUCCUGCGAUCAUUUGACCUAGAUGAUCAAAAUAUCUAGGUAAAAGACCCAUUCAACACCCUAACCUUCCAUUUCUUCAUCUCAUUAAACCC
rnacentral:lncRNA from 10 species